rnacentral:rRNA from 1 species
GAUGUGAAAGCCCCCGGCUCAACCGGGGAGGGUCAUUGGAAACUGGGGAACUUGAGUGCAGAAGAGGAGAGUGGAAUUCCACGUGUAGCGGUGAAAUGCGUAGAGAUGUGGAGGAACACCAGUGGCGAAGGCGACUCUCUGGUCUGUAACUGACGCUGAGGAGCGAAAGCGUGGGGAGCGAACAGGAUUAGAUACCCUGGUAGUCCACGCCGUAAACGAUGAGUGCUAAGUGUUAGGGGGUUUCCGCCCCUUAGUGCUGCAGCUAACGCAUUAAGCACUCCGCCUGGGGAGUACGGUCGCAAGACUGAAACUCAAAGGAAUUGACGGGGGCCCGCACAAGCGGUGGAGCAUGUGGUUUAAUUCGAAGCAACGCGAAGAACCUUACCAGGUCUUGACAUCCUCUGACAAUCCUAGAGAUAGGACGUCCCCUUCGGGGGCAGAGUGACAGGUGGUGCAUGGUUGUCGUCAGCUCGUGUCGUGAGAUGUUGGGUUAAGUCCCGCAACGAGCGCAACCCUUGAUCUUAGUUGCCAGCAUUCAGUUGGGCACUCUAAGGUGACUGCCGGUGACAAACCGGAGGAAGGUGGGGAUGACG